UACGGAGGGUCCAAGCGUUAUCCGGAAUCAUUGGGUUUAAAGGGUCCGUAGGCGGUUUUGUAAGUCAGUGGUGAAAGCCCAUCGCUCAACGGUGGAACGGCCAUUGAUACUGCAAGACUUGAAUUAUUGGGAAGUAACUAGAAUAUGUAGUGUAGCGGUGAAAUGCUUAGAGAUUACAUGGAAUACCAAUUGCGAAGGCAGGUUACUACUAAUUGAUUGACGCUGAUGGACGAAAGCGUGGGGAGCGAACAGG
rnacentral:rRNA from 1 species